rnacentral:lncRNA from 1 species
AAAAAAAAAAAAAGAAAUAACUGUUAACUCCAAGGGAGCACCACCCACAGAACCUCCACCAACUGACAGUUUCUCUUCUUGACUUGCCACCCAUCGCUGGAUGUUGUCCACUUUAUCCACCAUAUAAAACAGUAAGCAGCUGCUAAAAACAAAAAACAAAAAAAAUACAAAAAGUAAUAACAUUAUAUGAACUGUGUUUCCUACUUGAUUAAAAAAUAUAAAGAACUGAGUGUUUAUUUCCCUAAUUAACCAAGAACUUUUGUACACGUUUAAGCUAUUAUUAUUAAAAGUGUUUGCAAAAUGGUCAAGAUUAUAAUAUUGCUGAAUUAUAUAAAAGUCCUUUUCAUGUUGAGCUAACAUUUGACUUUAGCACAAAAAAAGAGAUAUUUUAGAACACGUAAAAUAAUAUUUUUAGUUUUUCUCAUUUUGUUACCAAAUUUCAAACCUUACAUGGAGGUUAUUAUAGUAUAUUUGACACCCUAUAUACCUGUGAUUAGAGAUGUGUAUAUAUAUGAGGGCUAGGCAUGCUGUGUGUCUGAGCUUUGUCUAAAUGUUAUGCAGAAGUUUGUAGAGUUAAAGGUACGUAGGUUUAAUUCAUGCAAGGUAAACAAUAAGUGCUCUCUUUUAUACAAUAUGCAUUGCAUCUGGACCUUAAACAUAAAAAUGGUCAGUGAAACUUCUGUGAACAUGAAGAAAUUAUUAAAAAAGGCAUUUAAAUGAAAUUUGCUAAGUUGUGAUUUUUAUGGUUGGAACCAAAGUUAUUCAAAUAGUAAAAGGAAAAAGAGAAAGAAAGAAAAAGGAAAUCUCCCAUGAUAUUUUUCUGCAUCUGUUUGCUUUGACUGAGUAGGUGUUUUGUCAUUAUUGUGUAUAUGAGAUGUAUCGUUCAUAAUAUAUUUUUUUUAUUAUGUGUAGAAAGAUUUUAAAAACUAACGUGCAGCAAUUUCCAGUGAACCUGUACUUGGACAUCAGGUAGCGAGUCUAUUUGUGGUCACUAGCACUGUCUCCUAAACUAGUAAGAGGUCUGAAGCUAUUCUUUGAUUUUUGCCAGUGCUAUUAACUUAUGUAGACCUGUUAAAAAGCAGAGCAACACAAUUAUAGUUAUCCUACUGAGCCAUGGAUUCUGAGUUUCAUUUUAAAAGUGAAAGCCAAGUUGGUAUGUGUAAAGGAUUUCCAUGUAGCUGUGGUGCUAGUUAUUACUGGCUACAUUAUAUGCUAAGUGUAUUUGUGUUCCCCAAGUGUACAAGCCUUCUAUCAAAAGUGUGUUCUAUAACUCAUAUAUUCAAGGUGUAGGGUAUGAAAAUGCAAAGCUUAGGAGAGCACUUUCCCAAGCUGGUGUCCUCCAAACUGAAAUUGUUUGUAACGAUAGUCUUUUACAGGUUUUCAUUUAAAGAUGUUCGUGUGCUUUUAAUUGACAACUAACUUCUUGCUGCUGUAUAGUAAAAUAUUAAUAUAUUUUUAUCAUUAAACUGCUGCAUGACUAUCAUCUUUGAGUGAAGAGAAAAUGUUAUAAAAAAAAAGAUGCCUUAAACAGUACAUUUUGGUUUGGAAUUCUGUAGAAAAUAUUUUGGUUAAAAAAAAAGGAUCUUGUCUGAUAUAGAGAGUUCUGGGGAUGGAAUUGUUUCUUGGCAAAUCCAGCCAUAUAGAUCUUACUGCUGUAUGUAGAAGACACCACCUGUAGGAGCUGGAAGGUAUCAGUGCUUCUCACAUUGUAAAGCAUUGGCCUAGGAAGGUGAAAGAGUUGUCUUUUUGAAGGAUUUUUUUUUUUUUCUUCUGCUGGUUCUUUGGGUUUUGAUUUGAUAUUUUAAGCUCCCUGGUUGAGUGUGUUGUCUUUGUUUUUGAGAUCUACUGUAUGUGUUGAAUAACAAGCUAUUUCCAUUGUACUGUGCAUUUUCCCAUUAAAUUGUUUGCUUUUAAUAUUCAUACAAUGUUAAAUAUGAGGUGACCGUACAAUAGUUAGGAAUUUCUUUACUUACAAAAAUCACUGGAAAUUAUUAAAUUGCUUUUCCCCUUCCCCCAAGGUGCAUUUUUCUUAUUUCCAUAUAGUAAAGUUGAGCUUUUACAGUGCAUAAUGUGACAUUUGGAAUGCUUAUCAACUGCAUGUAAACAUUAAUAACCUGCACUUUUUUGUCUUAAGGUUUGUUGAGCUGUUUUGUUCACUGUACUUUUACUGUGAUUUGGAAAAGACUGCAUUCUCUGUGCUGUUACUAGUUAGGAAAGAGAAUUGCUUUGAUUUUGUCUCUUGUUUACUAUAGCUUCUUAAAGUUAAGCCUUGUACUACAGGUUGUUGGAGUACUCCUAGAUCAGUGUUUCAUAGUAGCCAGCAAUAAGUAGUGCAAGUCAACAAAAACACAGCAAACUUAGGCAAAGUGUCCUUUCUUUGAGAUGCGAGUUCUUUCAUGAGGUUUUCUUUAGGGUCAUAGUUACCUAAAGUGAAGCCUUUCUUACCUACAGACUUCAGAUUCUGCUUGGAAUCCUACCGGAUCAAUAAGCACAUGUAUUGUGCAAUUGUCUUUACACUAUAACAGUUAAACACAAUCUUACUAAGAUUUUGGAACCAGUGUCUGAUUUAUGGUCAGUGGGUUUAAAAAGAAAUCCACAUGCAAAUCUUUUAAGACUUAAGAGGUGAUCUUAGAAAAGACUAAGUGACUGUAUAAAGAUGCUCUUUUUUGCAUCUCACUUUACCUCCCCAAGCACCCUCCCAGCCUUCCCUUUCCUAUACUGUUUCAUCCUUUCCCUACCCAUCCUCCCAGGUGCUCGGUACAUUACCAAGGUUCUAUAUCAGUGUUUUAUGUUGGAGUUUUUCCUUGUUUUUAUUUUACUAGUUGGUAAAACCCUGUUUGUGCUGAAAUGAAAAAGGAAACGGUAUAUUUGACCAUAUGUGUUAUUCAUAGAAGACAGUAUGAUCAAAUGUGCCAAAAACAAGCAAACAAAACUUAAUUCCUGAUAUGUAUGCCUUAUUUUUAAUGAUCUGCUUUGUCUUACGAUUAAGGUCCAAGAGCUUGGUUAAACUAUAUUAUUUGCCUAAGUAUAACAGAAAACUUGAAAUGCAUUGCAAUAUUGACGUUCUUUACAAUGAGAGACACUGUCAAGUAAUUUAAUCCAGAGAUCAGCCACCAGAUUUGAAAUGCCCAUAUAUGUGUGUGUGUUUGGUGUUGUUCUUUUUUUUUUUUUUCUUUUUAAAUCACCAAAUCUUUUUUUUAAGCUACUUUUUAUUUGUGCCUCCUAUUUAUCAUGCUGAUGUUAGAAGCAGCAGUCAUCCAGCCACAGAGGGAGCUAAAGUUAACUAACCAGAACUGUAGAAAUCAUACAUGCCUUUGACAACAAAGGAAGUUCAUAAGAAAAGCCAUGUCGGCUUUUCCUUUACUAGAUACAGAUUGAAGGUAGAUGAAUAUUUGCCAAAUGGAAAGGAGAGACAAUGUGAGUCAGGAAAGACAAACUUUCCCAGCUUCCUAAAAGCCAUGGAGAGUAGAAACCAAAACCAACAGGGAAAUAAAAACCUUGAAAGUCUCACUUUCUAGUCCCAUGCAGGGGUUGAAAUUUGACUCAAAGUGGAAAAUAUAUCAAUCUGUUUUUUAGGUCUUCACAUCUAGAGAAGGAUAACUAUUCCAAUUUGAUUUUUCGGGUAAUGGAGAAAGCUGCUAGUAAUUUUAACCCCUGCCUAAAGAAGACAGAUAAUUUCAUUUGGGAGCAAAUACUUAUUGCCUUGAAAAAUAGCACUGUAAUAGCCUAUGAUAAUUAGUUGUAGAAUAACCUUUAUCCCUUUUAAACUAUGCAAAUUAUUAAAUAAGUGUAAAUUAGGACUCAAUUAAAGAUAGUUGAUUAUAUUGCAAUCAGAUGGCAUUCACAAACUUAACUGGAGCAUAUACAAAUGAAAUCUAUUAGUCUAAGAGUUUUGUAUGCUAACAGAAAAGUAUAAUUUAGCUACCUAUUCUAAAAAUGGUGAAUAUUAUUAAUAUUGUAUAAUAGGACUGGGAAGACUGCCUCCUUUUUGAAGAGAGAAAGAUUAAGGAUUUUUAUAAUUGUUUUUCAUCAAAUUUUAAUAUUUUUGUCAAAUUUUUAGGUAUUUAAUUUGUAAAAGUUUGCUUUGUACUGGCAUACAGAAAAUAGGGUAUUGAUUUUAAACUUUUUGAAGCCAAGUGAUCAAGUACAUUUGUAAUAAAAGUCAAUGGAUCUAUAUCAGUUGUACUCACUGUUUUCAUUUCUUACUCUUAUUAAUAUAGGAAUGCUAUACUUUUUCUGCAGGAACACUGUACUAAAUUUGGGUGGAAGGGAGGGGAAAAGAUAAGUCCGUUGAUAAUGAGAAUCUGGGUGGGUACCAUGGCCCCAAACACUUUAUAUAAUCUUUGAGUCAGUUAAGAUUUGGUAUUGAAAAGAUGCAUGUCAGUUUUUUUACUUCCUAUUUUCAUACGGAAUUUGAUGUUUGUGAGGGUUAUCUCAUUCAUUGUUUCUGUGCUUUAACAUUUUGCAUUGGGCACUGUUGAAGCUUUCUAAACAUAUUUUUCUUUUAUGACAUUUUGGGUUAUAUGCCAGCCAUGGUGAGCUCACCAUGGGCAUGAUUAUUACUUCUAUCUCCCAUGUAUGGUUCACCCUUUCUUCUUCAAUAUUCCCACUCAGUUUUUCAUAUUUCACACGCAUGCACACACGCUUCCAGGUGAUUUUAGAAUGGAGAUUUCUGAAGUUGUUGCUGUAGUUGUUUUCAUAGCUCCACAAUUCAUUUUAUUUUACAUGUGAACAUACUUUUAAUAUUUUUCUCCAUUAAAAAAAUAAGAUACCAAAUCUAAUGACUUUUUUUCCCUUUUCUGAGUUUUUUCAAUAUCAGAAUGAGAUCCUGCUUUCUACGUAAAAGGAUGCUAAAAAAGGGAAUUUUUAGCAACUUAGGUAUAGAACAAUUGGUGAUAACUCUGAGUAUAAAUUUUAUAGUUGGUUAUCCUUAAAUUUGAAUAUUUUAAUAAUUUGGAGAGAUACAUACUUUUUCAUGGGAGUGGAAUGAAUAAGAAAGAAUUUAUUGGAAUCACUUAAGUGAGAAAAUUCACUGAUUUAUGCAAAGUUUUCUGUUAAAAUGUAUCCAUGUUUAAAUCAUACAUUAUUAUUAUAAUGUAUGUAUAAUAUUUCUGGGUUUUUAAUUGCAAAUUAACUGAAUUUAAACCAUUUGUAAUAAGGUACACUAUUAAACUAAAAUGAUCACUGCUAUUAUAAUUACUGUUUCCAUCUAGCUGCUUUAAUUACCAUAGAGAAUUUGCAAUAUAUUUUUAAGAAAAGUUGAUUUUAAUAUUUAGGGAGUUAUUUGAUCCUAAAAACCUAAAUUUAAGGCCUAGGCCAUUUGAUAGACUCUUUUCAAAGAGAAAUUUCUUUAUUAUGGGUUAAGUGAAGAUCAUCUAAACUAGCAUUAUCAUGUCAGGUAGAAUUUCAUAAUGGAAAAACAGCCAAGAGAAUAGUAAAAGAUAAUGGUUUUAAGCCAACAAUUUGUCAUCUUACAGCUGCUAAAUUGACUACCAAGUUUUGAUGUUGAAUGGUCUAGGUAAUUUAUGUCUUUAGGAAAGCUUGAGUAUGGUCAUUUGUUAGAAAUCCUUUUCUUUAAAAAAUUUCAUAGUUACUCAUGUAUUUUUAUUUUGUCCCUACAUUACGUUUGGUAUUUGUAUUUUUCUUUUCUUUUUUCCCCUGAUGUGCUUUGCUUUUGUGGAAAAUUGUCUUGUUUGAUAGGUAGAAACAUGGUGGUGAUCUUCGAUGUAAAAUAAAGUUCAUUUUUAAGGACCAGAUAUAUUUUACUCAUUUUGGAAUUGCAAGAUUUUUGAAUUUUUCAUGAAAGCAUACUUUGUUUUGAUGAUUAUUAACAAUUUUCUUAUUGAUUAAAAUUUUAUAGCAUUUCAUGGGGAAAACUUUAGCUAAGAAUUUAAUUGUCUUGAUUUCGGGUGCACUUUAAUAAUUCAAGAGGCCUCCAAGUUCAAGGACCAAAUCUUUAUAUUCUGGAGUUUUGAGAAUCAUGGAAGUACUCUUUUUAACAUCUGUUUUAGUCUAAACUGGAUUAAAACAGAAGGAUCCUCAGAGGACUUAAGAUGUCCUUAUUGUGAAGUAGCAAACUUAUGGGACAGAUGACUUAAUGUAUUCACCUUGACUAGCUCAACCAGUUAGGAGUAUCAGCUAAUGAAUUAUUGGACACAUGUUGGUAUUGGGUCAAGCUCUCAUUCAGCUGGAGUGGAUUGGCAGUUUCCAGCGUAGGUAGUUGUUGGUGGCAUUUGACCUACCUUCCUACCAUAUACAUUUGGCUUUUUUUUUUCCCCUCCCAUCCUCCUUUUUCCUUGUUUCUCUCUCCAUCUUUAUUCUUCUUGCCAUAGGCCUGCCAGUGACACUCAAACUUACCCCUUUAAAGGGAAAGUGAAGAAAUUGCUGGCUCCUGCCUUAGCACAUGGCUAACCGAUCUCAGAAAGAUUUCUGUAUAAUGAGCUAAUUGGGCAGUUUUUCUGACUGCUAUUUUCCCCAUAGUCUUAAGUUGGCAAUCAGAAGAGCGGUGAAAUUGUUAAGAAAUUUGUGUAUUGAAGAGAGUAAGAAGUAUGUGUAUUUUAGGUAAGUUACUGGGGGCUGAUAUUUACUGGUUUGGAAAUUUGAGAGCAGAAAGGGAAGAACUGUUUAAUGUGUUCAUGAAUGGGAGUGUGAGAGUUCUAUAAGGGAAUGAUUUGAAGGUAAAGUGGGAGAAAUUUUUAUUGGAGGUAGGGAAAGAUACUAAAAUGGAGUCUUAAAUGAGCGCUGUUUGCUAAGGACAAUGAAGUUGAUCUUCACUAAUGAAGUUUCAAUAAGCCAGAGAAAAUGGGUCCCUUGUUGGUUAUGAGAAAGCUGUUGGUCUGUAGCUAGAUGUUAUGAUGAUGAUGCAUUAUACAAAUCUGCUUUCAGGUGUAGGAUAUUUGCUUUUCUGGACAAAUUAAAUAGCACAAUUGUGGAAGACAGCUUCUCUGGUCAAAGCUUGUUGGUACUGGGGACUUGCUAUUUCAAGGGAAAGAAGAAAAUUUCAAACUUUUUCAGUUACAAUUUUUAAAUUAUCAGAAAUAUUUAUUAUACAGACUAUUUUCCUGGGCUCAUGUUAUACUGUAGUCUAGCUUUACUUUUCAAAAGGGUCCUUAGAGUAAAUCAUUUGAUUUUACAGUUCACAAAGAUCCAUAUCCUAUCUUGAUUUUACAGAACCUUGAGCCUUUGGUCCAUAUUAAUUUCUUACAAAAGAGUAAACUAGGUAAAAACACUAAACUGCAAUUUUAGGUAUCUUUUCCAUUUCUUUUACAUUUGCAGUCCCAUGUUUUAAGACUGUAGACCUUAUGAAACCCUCUAUAAUACUAUAUUUUUCAAUUUAGACAAUGUACCCCCUUAAGCUCAAAUUUCUGUUUGUAUUUCCACUUUCUCUGUUACUUUAAAAUUAUGUAAUUCCCCAGUGUUUUUAGUGGUGGCAUAUGAUUUUAAUAUAAUUUAGUGUAUCUUGGAAGUUCUUAUGUUCUUUGUAGGAUGAACUGAUAGUAUUUAGAUUUCUGUUCCCAGUAUCCCAGGAACAUUUUUAAUUAUUUAAGAUAAAGAAUUGCUGUAAUAUUUUGUUUUAUAGAUUAUAUAAUUCAAGUGUAUUUGGACUCCUUUUUAGUUUAAUAUGGACUUCUUUUCAGUGAUUCUGACAUUAUUUAUUUCAUUGUACCCAAAUCCGUAUACAUUAGUGAUAAAAUUUCUUAGCUAAAAAAAGAGGUUUUGAUUUUGUAUCUGGAAAGUAACUUUUUUUUUUUACAAAGUCAAGUUCAUUAACAAUAGAGUUAUUUUUAUUAUAAUUUAUUUUUUAGAGUUAGCACUUAGUAUGCUUUUCCCAUCUUACCAAUUUUAAAUUAUGAUACAAUUACAUUCUAUAACUUAUUGAAGUCUGUGUAAAGCCUUCUAAAACAGCCCCUCACUUAGGAACUGUUUUUUAAAAAGUGAAUUCCCAAACCUACUCAAGAACCAGUGAUUUAAAUGACUGCCUUUGAAAGGCUUCCUUGAGUCUAGUCAAUGGAGAUAAAUGAUAGCCCAUUUCCAUGCUGCAUACAGUUGUUAGGGUUUAUAAAGUUAUCAAUAUGUAAAAGUGCAAAAGCAGGAAAGAUGUAAAGUUGCCUAUAAAAUUUCUAGUUUUCAUUAUUUGCACUAUUUAUCUUUGCACUUGAUUUUUUGAAAGUUAAGACUAGUCACUUUCACUUUUGUUUCUAGUCUUUUCUAAUUUCUUACAGAAUUGUUUUCAAUAUCCCACCCAAAGCAAAACUUAUAUGCAAUUAAAUAUGCUUUAUAAGUCCAAGAAAAUAUUUCUUAGUGUUAGCUAUGUAGAACAAAAAAUUUGUUUUGAUAAAGUUUUUAAUAUGGGCCUUUAUUUGCCAAUAUAAUCCUUUAUAAAUGUGAGCUUUAUUAAACUAUUUGAAUAGAUAAAGUGAAAGCUUAGGGUAGAAAAUACAUAUAUAUGUGUGUGUAUAUGAAACAAUGUCUUGGAGAUCCAGCUUCCAGCCUGAGAUGGCCUGGUUUCGGAGUGUUGAUUUGUUGUCACUGAAGUCAAUGAGCUCUGAGUCUAGCCGAGUAUUGGCUUAAAAAGCUGGAAGUGAAGUGGGUGGCAAAUGACAGCUCCCUCUUUCAUGUAGUUUUCCAUAAUGCUCAUAGAGUUUCAUCAUGGUCUAUGUGAUAUAACUGGUAUUGAAAUAAUUACGUUAAAUGAAUAUUCCUUUUUGGAAUUCAAGGUUCACUCACUUUUUGAGGGGGGGAGGGUGGCAAGGGAUAAGAGACUUUAUUUUAACUAAGAAGCAUUCUUAUAACCUCAAGAUGUGCUCUAGGAAGAAUAGGAGAACAAAAUGUGUACC